GACGAACGCUGGCGGCGUGCCUAAUACAUGCAAGUAGAACGCUGAAGGAGGAGCUUGCUCUUCUGGAUGAGUUGCGAACGGGUGAGUAACGCGUAGGUAACCUGCCUGGUAGCGGGGGAUAACUAUUGGAAACGAUAGCUAAUACCGCAUAAGAGUAGAUGUUGCAUGACAUUUGCUUAAAAGGUGCAAUUGCAUCACUACCAGAUGGACCUGCGUUGUAUUAGCUAGUUGGUGGGGUAACGGCUCACCAAGGCGACGAUACAUAGCCGACCUGAGAGGGGGAGCGGACACACUGGGACUGAGACACGGCCCAGACUCCUACGGGAGGCAGCAGUAGGGAAUCUUCGGCAAUGGACGGAAGUCUGACCGAGCAACGCCGCGGGAGUGAAGAAGGUUUUCGGAUCGUAAAGCUCUGUUGUAAGAGAAGAACGAGUGUGAGGGUGGAAAGUUCACACUGUGACGGUAUCUUACCAGAAAGGGACGGCUAACUACGUG
rnacentral:rRNA from 1 species